rnacentral:rRNA from 1 species
CCCUUAGAUGUUCUGGGCUGCACGCGCGCUACACUGAUGCAUUCAACGAGCACCCGCUGGGCCGAGAGGUCCGGCUAAUCUUUGAACGUGCAUCGUGCUGGGGAUAGAUGAUUGCAAUUAUUCAUCUUCAACGAGGAAUUCCUAGUAAACGCAAGUCAUCAGCUUGCAUUGAUUACGUCCCUGCCCUUUGUACACACCGCCCGUCGCACCUACCGAUUGAAUGGUCCGGUGAAAUUCUCGGACGCGGACUUGCGAUGUUAAUUCGGAGCUUGACUGUGAAAGUUAAUUAAACCUUACCAUUUAGAGGAAGGUGAAGUCGUAACA